GCGAUUAAUCUUCACUUAAUAUCACACUAAUCUCAAUUAAUUCAAUUAAUCAAAGCAAGAGAUAAAAGGGGAAUUAGGUCAAGGGAAUUGUGACCUUUGAGCUUUCUUCAUUCAAAAGAUCUCACUCUUUCUUCUUCACCGAGAAACGGCGACGGCAACCUCCCUUGCUCCGGCGCGAUUCGCGACACACCACUCUCCUGUCUCCACUUCAAAUCGAUCAUCUCUCAACAAUGACCUCUCCGAAUCAAGCUCGUUCUCAUCUCAGAUUACCUCUCGUCUCGAUCGGAGUUUCUUCACGGUGGCGGAGAAUUUCGAAGAGGAGAUUCAGCGUUGUGAGGGUGAUGACACGAUGAAGACGCGUUGAUAGAGUCAAAAACCUUGAGGAUUGCAGAACCACGAACAAACGGAGAAGAUUGAAGAUCAUGAAGAGAUUUUCUGUUGCAAAGAUUGAAGAAUUUCUGCCAAAUCUUUGAAGGUUGGAGAUUUUUUUAAAGUUGAAGAGCGAAUUCGAGAGAGAUAUUGAAGAUUUUCAGAGUUAAAGAACUCGGUUCUCUUGUGAUAGUUUCUGUUCGAGUUUUUUGUUACUCUUUUUCAGUGAUGAAGAAUGGUAGAGAUUGUAGAAUCGUGGAGGUUAGUGGAUGAAGAUGAUGAGGAAUGGUGUGAAGAUGAUGAAGAGUGGGUGAUGGUGUGCGAAGAUGAAUGAGGGUGAAAUGGCGUGUCGAACCUUGAAUCAUGGAGGGAGAUUCUGUUAUAUAGUAUCAGGGAGAAUCAGAAUUGAUUGAAAGGUUAGUUACUUCUCUCCUCUUCCUGAUUUUUCUCUCUUAUGCAUAUGGAGGUUUCUCUUAGGCUUAUAACUGAAUCGGUUAGUGAGGUAAUUCUAUUACAAAUCGGUUAGAUGGAAAAUAUUAGUUACAAAAUGAUAGGUUAGUUAGUUAGGGAUCGUACUAGGUUGUUAGAGGUGGUUUAUGAACUCUGUUGGUUGAUUGGGUUAUUGCAGUUCGUAACAGUUAGGGAGUUUUUAUUAUGAAGUUAGUUGCAGUUUGGAUGGUUAUUGAGAAUUGGUUAGGAAAGUUGGUUAGAACUGUUAUGUGAAAUGUUAGUUAUGCUAAAAGUGUGGUCUCUUAUUUCUCUUUAGAAUGUAUGGCUGUACCGGUUUUAUUUAGUGUGAUAUGCAGGUAAUUUGGUUUUUUUUUCUAGUUUGAAAUUGUAUGACUUGCUGAACCGGUUUUGCAGGAUUUCAGUGGUGAUGUUGGUUUUGUUAUGUGGAUGCAGGGCUGACUUUGGCUUGGAUUUCAGUGGUGAUGUUGGUUUUGUUAUGUGGAUGCAGGGCUGAUUUGUGAAAUGCAGGUUCAGGAUUAUCGAUAAGCUUCGGCAUGGUAUUAUAUGUGGCAGAUGCAGGUAGCAGCAGGCUAUGGUUCCAAUUUGGUAGAAUGUAAACCGGUUUUUUUAACGGGAUGUGGAUGUAUGUUUGUUAUGCAUUUGAGUGUGAUCGGAAGAGAUUAGUUAAUGACUGUUAGCAUGAAGGUAUGGGGAGUUUGUGUACUGAGUUUAUGAUUGGUUAUGCUGUUUUUCAACAUGCAGGCAGCAGGUUGGCUCAAUGAACGGGAACAGAAGGUGGGCUUAUGGUCAUAAAGCUUGAAGAUCGAAAUAGCAAAAUCGGAAGUGUGUCUAGAAUAGGAUUUGGAUUUUUCUUUGUAGUUUUUGAUGUGAAUGUCUCAGUGUAAUAACAUGGAAUUGAUUUUGUGUAAUUGUGGAUGAACUUUGGAUGUCGUAAUGAUAAUGGGAAUUGAAAGAA